AAGAGAUUUUACUGUAUAAUUAAGGGUCUAUCAAAAUAUAAAUCAAUUCAAUUACAACAUAACCAUUACCUUUUUCUCAUCCAAUAUAAUCUAUUCGAAAGUCUGACUUCAUAAAACUAUAACAUACGAGGAUUUCUACCUUUCUCUCCUUAAAGAUUAUAGUCAAACAAUUCUUUGUUACAAUAACGGGGUUAUCACAAAUCUAAGUUGAUACAAUUAUAAUUUAUAAGUCAGGAGACUACCAAACAUAGGUUAAGUUGCAUAUGACUAAAAAUUGCUUUUCUUUCCAUGGGGAAGUCUUGAGUUUCACAACUCCGCGUCAAAUUCAAUUGUGGUAUAAUUUUCCCUCCUAAAUUUUGUUUCUCAGUGCUUCCCUGGGCCUGAAAGCAUUCAUCGGUGCCUGCAAGUGACCAAAACACUUCACAGGCUGCAAGGGCUUUUAUGUCUGCCACUCUUUACCGAUUUUUAUUCCAAGGCCCUUUUGACAGUCAUUUGAUAUUUGGAUUAUUUGGGCAUUUGGCAACCUGAUAAGAGAGUAAGAGGCUGAGGCAGUAAACUCUUUCCAGCAACAGUGAAAUUUAUGCCGGCCCAAAAAAAUGUUGUGUACGUGAGAGGCAAUGCAAUAUAUCAGUAUUAACUUAUUUUGUCUGAUAUAUAAAUUUUCAUAUACAUGUAUAUAUGACAGAACGUUAUUGAAUUAUUAUAAGUUAGUAAUUCCAGCAUUUAUAGGAAAUUUUCUCAUAUCUAUUUCCAUUCACAAGAGCUAGGCAAUAGUGGAACUAAGGUUGUAUUUAUUUAUUUUUAAUGAAAUGUAAAUAGUUUUAAAUUUAGUUGAAGUCUGAAUAGGUUUGAAUAGAAAUUUUUAAAUGAUAUGUUUGUUUUUCUUUUUUUUUUUCAACGUCUGAACAAAAAAAUUUAAAACUAGUUGUUUGACGUUAACAUUCUUUUAAGUGGUGCAUAUAUUCGUUAUUCACAAUUUAUAAACUUAACAAAUUGAUUAGUUUGAUAGCAUGAAAAGAAUAAUACUAUCAUUGUUUCUUAAUUUAAUUUUACAAUAAAAGAUGUAAUUAUAACAUCAACUCUCAUUAUAAAGUCAACAUUGUUGUUUUAAUUUUAAUUCAUCACAAUAGACGUAAUCUAAUUUGUCCAAUAUUUUACUUUAGUUAAUGCUACCAUGUGAAUA
rnacentral:lncRNA from 1 species